ACAAAAUCAAUAGCAUUAAGAGAAAACUAGAUAAGAAAAUAGAGAUGGGUUCAUUUAAGACAACAUUUUUCUUGGUCCUCUUCGUCACCUCGACCUUAUGUUUUACAAAGUCGGAGGGAAAAUGCCACAGAGACUCGGAAUGUGCGAACGCGCAACCGUGCCCGGUUCGGAUGGCUUGUCUCUUCGGCACAUGCGUCUGUCCCUUCCAACCUCAGGAACUCUCCUCCGGCCAAUCGCAACGCGAGAGAGAGGGCAAAAAGGUCAUUACCCCUCCCGCCGCUAAUUGAUUGCCGGAGCUUCGACUUCUCUCUUGAGAUUUUGUACAAUAAAUAAUAAAAUAAUAUGAUAUGCUUACACCUUUUCCAUUGCUCCUUUCUUACGAGGAUGAAUAUGAUAUGCCAAACGAUGUACCGACAAA